rnacentral:rRNA from 1 species
UACGGAGGGUGCGAGCGUUGUCCGGAAUCACUAGGGGCGUAAAGGGCGCGUAGGUGGCUUGGCAAGCGAUGUGGUGGAAAGCCCGGGGCCUCAACCCCGGGUCUGACCGUGCGAACUGCUAUGGCUUGAGCACUGUAGAGGCAGGUAGAAUUCCGGGUGUAAGCGGUGGAAUGCGUAGAGAUCCGGAAGAAUACCGGUGGCGAAGGCGGCCUGCUGGGCAGUGGCUGACACUGAGGCGCGGACAGCGUGGGGAGCAAACAGG